CCUACGGGUGGCAGCAGUCGAGAAUCAUUCACAAUGGGGGAAACCCUGAUGGUGCGACGCCGCGUGGGGGAAUGAAGGUCUUCGGAUUGUAAACCCCUGUCAUGUGGGAGCAAAUGAAAAAGAUAGUACCACAAGAGGAAGAGACGGCUAACUCUGUGCCAGCAGCCGCGGUACUACAGAGGUCUCAAGCGUUGUUCGGAAUCACUGGGCGUAAAGCGUGCGUAGGCUGUUUCGUAAGUCGUGUGUGAAAGGCGCGGGCUCAACCCGCGGACGGCACAUGAUACUGGGAGACUAGAGUAAUGGAGGGGGAACCGGAAUUCUCGGUGUAGCAGUGAAAUGCGUAGAUAUCGAGAGGAACACUCGUGGCGAAGGCGGGUUCCUGGACAUUAACUGACGCUGAGGCACGAAGGCCAGGGGAGCGAAAGGGAUUAGAUACCCGGGUAGUC
rnacentral:rRNA from 1 species